UCCUCUGGAGACUCUUAAACCCAGCUCAGACCGUGUUCAGGUGGUGCCCGUGUCCCUGCCAUGUCCACAGUGAGGGCUGCCUUCAGGUCUGGCUGGAUCAGGGCUCUGGCUUCUCUCGCCUGUUGCCUUCUCUCUGAGCUUCCUCUUCAGCUGACUUCCCUUUUGGUAGGGACGUGGCCACAGCAGGCCCUGUCCUCAGAGCCACACACGGCUCUAUCUGGGAACAGAGCCGGGAGGGUCCCUCCCCGUUGGUCCGAGGAUUCCCAAGCUUUAUUGUCACGGAGCCGUUAGCGUCCAGAGAGCCUGGGCCAUGCUGGGCACGGACUGCCUGGAGCCUGGCGGGCCUGCGCCGGAGCCGGGGCUGGUCCUCUCGCCCUUGACCUGUGCGUGGUCAGAGGCUGCGGCGGCCCGGCCUGGGGAGGGGGCGUGGCGCUGAGGUGUCCUUCUGUUGCUCCCAGGUGUGAGCACAGCGCCGUCCUUCGACCCUGCAAUGCCACCAGGGACGCGGUUUGUGCCGACAGACCUCACCCACAGCCGGGAGACGGCAGCACGUUGUUCAUCGUUCUGGGGGCCCUGGCCCUGCUCAUCCCCGGCCCCAUCGUGUUCUGCUGUAGAAGACGCAGUAAGUCAGAGUCAGAUGGAUCCUGGAGAAAACCCGAGUGGAAAGAGCGUUGGAAACGGGGUCCGGGCUUCGUGACCAGGCGCUUGGGGUCUGAACGCAGUUCUGGGGCCUCCUCGUCCGGGGGCCCCUCUCGGGUCUGAGCUCAGAGCCGCCGGCCCCGCGCGCCCCGACGUGCGGGGCUUAAGAGCAGAGGCUCAGGUCCGCUGGCGGGAGCCGGGGUGUCCGGGGCGCCCUGGGCCGGGAAGCAGGGACGGACAGGUGCUGCUCCAGCCAAGGGGC
rnacentral:lncRNA from 1 species